AACCUGGUGGCUCAACAGGUAGCGCUCAACGGUUCAAUGUCUGGUUGGCAGCCGGUAUCAAAUGGAGUGCCCCAGGGGUCUGCCCUGGGGCGGGUUUUAUUCAACAUCUUCAUUAAUGAUCUGGAUGACGGGAUGGAUUGCA